UUGACAGGUAACGGAUAUCUUUCAGAGUCUAGUCUCUGUCUGUCAGUGUCUGUUCAGUUCUUUGCUGUUGUUUUGGAUUGUGGUUUGUUACUGCAUCUGAGCAAUUUAAGCAAAUUAUCUGGUCAUUUUUACGUUGAGUCGAGGAACUGCUCCUCCGUACUCUAUCUGUUGAUAGUACUUUCGCGAAAGGACGCUUUAUUACUUGUGUUGUGUAUAACACCUGCUGACCAUGUUUGCCGCACGGAACAAAUAUUUGAAUGAUCUGCAAGUUGUUGUUCUGGGUCUGGGUAUUUCUGCACAUGAGUUUCUAUGUUGAUGAAAUAAUACUAAGAAUAGAUUAAAUAAUUAUAAGAACAAUAAAAUAGAUGUAUAUUCCUACAAAAA